GAAUUGCCUAAUCUGGGCCAUUUUUGAGAGUGAGAGGAACAAUUUGUAAUUAUGCUCACGCCAUAGGCAUGAGGCAGACUUUCCCAACAAAUCCAGGCACAUGGUUAGUUACCUUAAAAUGGAGCUAUGCAUGGUGAAUAUUGUCGAAAACAGAUGAGAGGCAAAGCUGUGGUUGGAAAUGGUGACACGGAUCAGGGAAGAUUAGACAGUAAUGUUUACUACUUUCUGUCUUGUAUUACGUUUGUUUAUACACACAUCUUUUUUUUCCACCAGAUUUAAGAAGUUUGAAAGAGGGUUCCAUGUUCUAUUCAUCAUCUAAUUUCCCACAGUGCUCACAAAACAACUUCAUGAAAAGAGCUGGAGUAAUGCAUAUAGCUUCAAGGAUGAAGACCACAGUCCCCAGCCUCCUUAUAACCAACCUGUCUGUUCAAAUCCAUUCUCUUCAAGAAAAUAAGAACAAUAUUUAUGUGUGCAGCUUCCAGUUUGAACAUGGAUGAAGUGAGGCCAUCAAAGGGAAGAUGUGGAUGGGGAGAGAGGAACAAUUCCAGAAACCAUAUACCUCUCCCAUGUGCCAAGACAUUGGAGUGCAAGGAGGAGGAAUAAACAGCUACUCUUCUCACCACUUUAAACCCCUAGAGGCCUAAGAUAUUUAAAUCUGAUAUAAAAUGGGUGUUUUAAUCUACUUUGAAUUAGAUAUAACUUUUUAUAAGUGAAAGUUAAUGGAAAUAUAGAAUCUGCUCAAGAUAUUAAAGGAGGGAUUGUACAGAGGAUAGUUGCAAACAGCAAUUGAAAACCCAGGGAUAGCUGGGUUAAGUUUAUAUCUCAUUGUGGUUUUGGUUUGCAUUUCCCUGACGAAUAGUGAUGUUGAGCAUUUUUUUCAUAUACCUACUCAGCAUUUAUACGUCCUCUUUUGAGAAAUGUCUAUUCAGGUCUUUUGUCCAUUUAAAAAUUGUAUUAUUAUUAAUUUUGCUUUGUGUUGUUUGAGGAGAGUAGAGGAAAUGAGAGUGGAAAGAGACUGGCCAAUGGCUACAAAAUUGCAGUUAGAUAUGAGAAAUACAUUCUCUUACACCAUGGGGUGACUAUAGUUAAAACUAUUGUAUUAUGUGUUUCAAAAUAACUAGAAGAAAGUACUUUGAAUAUCCUUACUACAAAGAAGUAUUAAAUAUUUGAGGUGAUAGACAAGGUGAUACCCUUGUUUGAUCAUUACACCAUUUAUGCAUGCAUACACGCAUCACACUUUACCUAUAAAUAUGUGUAAUUAUUAUAUGUUGAUUAAAAACAAAAAAAGCUUCAUGUGUAAUAUUUGUUAUCAUUUGGCAGCUUGGGGAAGUGCUUUUCUAUUGGAGAGUAUAGUUGAGCAUUGUUGAAGAAGAUAUCAAAUCCUGUAGCAUUCUCAUGUUUGAAAAAAGGUAACUAACUUAAACUUUUGGCUUAUCAAACCAGUAACGUUAGAAUAAUGAUAAUGACUCCUACUCAAGAUGGUUGUGAUACUUACAAAUCACACAUAAAAACUUCAUUGUUUUACUGAAUCCCUGAAAUUGGUUUGAUUUCUCUGUUGAAACUCUUAAAGAAUGAUCAAGGGGAGAAUGGGGUCACAUCUCUCACUUAGUGAGUGCUUAAAACAGAGGAUGCUGAACAUUUCCUGGUGAUGGGGAGGAACAGGUGACUAACAGUGUAUUUUGUUAUUAGUUUUAUAGCUGAACGGGAACGGAAAAGUUUCCUAAAUCAAAAAAUCUAGGUAUUGAGAGGUAAGACAUAAAAAGGAUUCAGUAUUAAAAUAAAUAAUAUGUCAAUCAAAAAUUUAAUGUAAAAGAGUUCUAAUAUGAAAUGUAAAGAUUUUAUCCAGAGUUAUCUUGACUCUUAGAAGCAGAUAUAUGUAUAUAAUUGUUUUAUACAUGUUUAUGAGGACAAAGUAAGCAUUUUCUAUAGGAAAGAGAAGGGGCACCGCAGUGGACACAGAAACCUUCCAGAUUAACUUUCCUUGUUCUGGCACCUAAUGCUGAAUAACAUGCUGAUGAGUACAGAAAGGGUGCACUCCUAUACAGGAUGACACCCUACAAGUUUACAGUCAUCUGACUGCUUGGUUCUGGCUAGGCUUUAAUUUCAUGUGUAAAAAUAACAGAAAAGCCAUUAAAUGUAGGUUUUCACACAAACCUCUAGGUUUCCCAAAUGAAUACUCUAAAGAUGACCGAGAGGGAUUGCUUUCCUCUCGGAAACCCAGCUGCUACUCCCUUUUGUGAGUGUAUUCAGUUCCUUACAGGUUUCUUUUACUAAUCUUUUUUGUCCUCUGAAAUUUAAAAUUAUUGAACAUUUUUUAUAACCUAGGAAAAUUAAUUUUAUAGCCAGACUAAUCAAGGCAUAAUGCUAAAAAAUAUUUCAAAUCAUUUGUUUGAUCUUAACUUCCAG
rnacentral:lncRNA from 1 species